CAAACCAUGGUUUAAGAAGCUAGAUUUUAGGACAGUCUGAGGACCUUCCCUGGUCCCUUGGGGGUGGGGUAGGAGAAAUGCAGGAGCGGCAGUCUGUGCCCUGUCUGCCUUGCAUUUGAUUUCUGCAGUUACGGAGCUAAAGUAGAGAACCGGCUUUGCUGGGGAUUGCAUUGUUGUGUCAUUUUCCUGUCCUGAUACCGCAUAAAUGAUCGCCUGAUCAGCAUAUCGAUUGGAUAAUUUAUUCAAUAUCAUUUAUGAACAGUAUCUGAAAAGAAAACAAGAUUUCAAGUGUUUCAAGUCUAUUGAAACAAGUUACAAUGGUAUAGUUCUAGAUGGAGAAUAAGAGUUCAGAUAAGUUCCUAGAAUGGCUUUGGUGUUCUGAUUCGCAAGGUUUCGGUGAUCCAGUAAGGCUUCCUCUCAUGGCUCACCAUGUACCAAGUCUAAAUCUUUCAGUUACAGGAGGCAAGUGCGGACUAAAAACAACUUGACGUCUCUGUUAGGAAAUUUGAUAGACAUUCAGAGUCCAGUAAGCAAAUUUCACAGAACCACACACAGCUACAAAAGAAAUUUGGACAUUAAAGUUGUUGUUUCUCUCUAGAAAGAUGAAGGCAACAAAAAGAAAACAACAUGCUACAUUGAUGUCAUCAUACAAAAGUAUUUUUCUAAAUUAUUAAAGCAUCAAAAUGUAUAUUCAAUGAAGAGUGAGGAAAUUCUAAGAGUCUUCUCUGAAUAAGUCAGAUAGGAAGCUUAAAAAGUGAGUCAAGUAGGAAAGGUAAUCAAGGGAAACUAGACCAUAUUAGAAUUGAAAGUGUACUUUACAGAUAUUUAGUACUUAGUUAAUACUUCUUAAAGGAAUAAAUAGCUAUUUUCCAUACUUAUGCUCACAAAAAAACUCUGUGUUAUUCACCUAAACAUACACAUGCUAACACACCUCAAAUGUAUACACAAAGUUAAUCUAGAUGCGGGCACUAUAUAUUUUACACAAACAUUGUCAAA